UUACAAGAGAGAAUUUGGUUUUAUCAUCCCUGAUCGUCCAAUUAUUGUCGAUGAUAUAAGAGUUCGUGGCAUCGGUCAAACACACAUUGAUAUAGCUAAAAGUAUCCCACAGAGUACAGAACAAGCUAAGAUAGAAAUGAUAACAAAAUGCUAUUUUGAAGAUGGAUAUCAUGAUACUCCAGUUUAUCUCCUCCAGAAUCUUUUUUAUGGUCAUUGCAUUAAAGGUCCAUGUAUUAUCAUAGAAGCAAAUUGCACUAUUUUAGUAGAACCAGACUGUGAAGCAUAUAUUACUGAAAAGGGAGAUGUAAAAAUUAAGGUUAGUAUUUAUUGUGCACCAUUUGUAUUGAGUAUAUUAUAAUUUAUAUUUUUUUGCAUGUUAUCUUUAAUUUGCAGAAAUUACUAUUCAAUGAUUAAAUAUUCUGUUUAAUAAAAUAUUUGAAAAAUAUGAAAUAAAGAUGUCCUUAUAUUCUCUUUUGUUUCUUAUGAGUGUGUUCGGAAUCAAAUGUAUAUAGAUUUCACUGAAUUUCAGCCAUCUGCAUGAGAGAAGGAAUGACAUGAUUAGUACCAUACAACAAUUACUUCACAUACUCAUUGGAAAGAGAAUGAGAUUUCUAGAACUAAAUAAAAAUAGGGAUUAAAAAAAAUUCUUUUGAGAUAUUGUUUUGCAUGACAGUCUGAUAUUUUACCUCCUAAACCAAUCAGCUAUAGUAAAAAAUUUUUACCUUGUAGUUUAGUAACUAAUAACUUUUUCUGAAAGUUCUUGCAAAAGGAAUGCAAUAUUUUAAUUAGAAAUUAAGCAAAUAAAAUAUAAAUUAUGAAAAUGACAUAGAUACAUUAUAUACAAAACAUAUUCAAUAUAAAAUCAGUAAAGUACUAUUAAAAGUUGAGAGGAUGAGCAAUAGUAUAGUAAU